GUGAGUGCGCGCGUGUGUGUGUGUGUGUGUGUGUGUGUGUCGCAUACGGGUCUGAGUGCAACGAGCACAC
rnacentral:miRNA from 1 species